rnacentral:rRNA from 1 species
UGACCUGCGGAAGGAUCAUUAACAAUUUGAACCCACAUGGAUUCAAGUAUCCAUACCCACCUUGUGUGCACCUAUUGAAAACUACUUUGGGAUGGAUUUGGUAUUUGUAUAUAUACCAACCUCCCAGAAUUUUUAAUCAACGCCUUAAAAUUUUUGUCUGAAAUUAUAAAUAUAUCAUAAAUAAAUACAACUUUCAACAACGGAUCUCUUGGCUCUCGCAUCGAUGAAGAACGCAGCGAAAUGCGAUACGUAAUGUGAAUUGCAGAAUUCCGUGAAUCAUCGAAUCUUUGAACGCAUAUUGCACUCUCUGGUAUUCCGGGGAGUAUGCCUGUUUCAGUAUCAUUAAUCAUCUCAAAAACCAUAAGGAUUUUGGAAUUGAGCUUUGUGCUGAAGAAAUUCGGCUGGCUUUAAACUUAGUCACAGCAAAGAACCGGUUUUUUAAAUCGGGCCAAAAGCGUAAUAGUUGGCUUUUCAAAGUCAUCUUUCGCUGAAAGCUAGAUUUUUUAUGGUUCCUUGAUUUUGUGCUUUGCAGAGAAACAAAAUAUAUAUAUUUUUAAACUUGAUCUGAAAUCAGGUAGGAUUACCCGCUGAACUUAAGCAUAUCAAUAAGCGGAGGAAAAGAAACUAACAAGGAUUCCCUUAGUAACGGCGAGUGAAGCGGGAAAAGCUCAAAUUUAAAAUCUUGGUAGAUUAUCUGCCACGAGUUGUAGUUUCAAGAAGCGUUUUCUGUGCGCGCCUGGGUAUAAGUCCUUUGGAACAGGCAUCAUAGAGGGUGAGAAUCCCGUUUAUGAUCCGGAGCGGCGACUGUGUGAUACGCUUUCUAGAGUCAGUGGUUGGGAUGCAGCUAAAUGGGUGUAAAUUCAUCUAAAGCUAA